rnacentral:sRNA from 1 species
AGCCAAGGAGGUGGCCGCCUCUACCGGGCAA